GGGUACAGCUCAGUGGCAGAGCACGUGCUUAGCAUGCAGGAGGUCCUGGGUUCAAUCCCCAGUAUACCUC
rnacentral:tRNA from 1 species